rnacentral:rRNA from 1 species
UACGAAGGGGGCUAGCGUUGUUCGGAAUUAUUGGGCGUAAAGGGCGCGUAGGCGGUGCGGUAAGUCACCUGUGAAAUCUCCUGGCUCAACUGGGAGCUUGCAGGCGAAACUGCCGUGCUGGAGUGUGGGAGAGGUGCGUGGAAUUCCUGGUGUAGCGGUGAAAUGCGUAGAUAUCAGGAGGAACACCUGUGGCGAAAGCGGCGCACUGGACCACAACUGACGCUGAGGCGCGAAAGCUAGGGGAGCAAACAGG